rnacentral:rRNA from 1 species
GAAAUAAAAAGUCGAACAGACUUAUAUUAAAGAAUACUGCUUCUUUAAUUUUUCUUAAUUCAACAUCGAGGUCGCAAAAAUAAAUAUAGAUAUGAACUCCCCAUUAAAAUUACGCUGUUAUCCCUAAGGUAACUUUAUCUUAUUUCCUUUAAGGAUCAUUUUAUCAUUGAUAAUGAUUUAAAAAGUUAAAGUUAAAAUUUAACUGCCACCCCAGCAAAAAAUAAAUUCAAUUAAAAAUUUAUUAUUAAAAAUAUUUAUUUUAAUUUAAUUGAAGUUCUAUAGGGUCUUAUCGUCCCAUGAUAUUUAUUAAGCAUUUUUACUUAAAAUUAAAUUUUUAAUAUUAAAAUAAAUAAAAAUAAAAUCUCAUUCAUCCAUUCAUACAAGCUCCUAAUUAAGAAACUAAUUAUUAUGCUACCUUUGCACAGUCAAAAUACUGCAGCCAUUUAAAAUAUUAUCAUAGGGCAGGAGAUACUUUUUAUUUAAACA